ensembl:snoRNA SNORA70 Small nucleolar RNA SNORA70
UUACGGCCGAUGAAGCCCUACCAUGCUCCUUUCCUCAUGGGGGCCCAGUGUGCAAUGGCUGCAGACGGCAGCCUCCUUGGCAGUGCGUGUAGCCUGUGGCCUGCACGGCUGGCCCUGGGGGACCUGGAGACAGCC